ensembl:lncRNA
AACAAUCAUAUCAUUACAGGGGCUGAUGUUGAUACACACAUACACACACACAUAUGAAAAUAAAUAAAUUCAUAUACAUUUAAUACAUAUUUAAAACUCAUCAUCUCAGUUUGGCACAACAGGAUGUAAAGCGAUUGUUAAGUUAUGCUUGAAAGGUCAGCAUAACUGAUUUCCUCUCAAAAGUAUCAGACGGUCAGCAUAAUAUCUUGCUUCUCUGUUAGAAUGUGACCCUGCUUUCGAUUUCCCUUUUCCUGACCUUUGGAGGUCAAGUAUGUGAUAAUAGUUUUUUGAGGGGAGGAGGCAAAAGAGCCCAGAGUGAGUGUUUCUGGCCAGUCAAUAACCGCCAACAUUAACUUAAACCAUUAAUAAAAGCAUCCAAACAAAAAGUAACGAUCAAUAACAACAGUUCAUACACUGCAUCUGUUUCAAACAAAAGAAUAACGUACAUUACGAUGUGUAGCAGAAUGGCUUUGGCACAAUAUGCUGACUGAAGUGCUGAAAAAUAUCAUCGGCAUGUUUCUGAGUCAUUAUUUCUCUGUUAUGACUAAGCACACUUCAGUAUUUCAGAGCGAGCCGUCUUUCAGGAUGUCUGUGGCCUGUUAAUAGUGUGCAAAACGUGACAGUCACAGAUUGCAUCGUACUCAACAGGAUUUACAAUGAAGGUGUGGAGGUUCACAGUGAAAUGUCAAGAUUAUCAGGAUUGACGCAGAGAGCCAGAAGAAUGCGAAAAAUGGCAUCUGUGAAGAGGAGGAGGAGGAGGAGGGCCUGCUGUGCUCCAUCGUCCUUAAAAGGAAGCAGCACUCCAUUCCCAAACACAGAGCUCCGGAUCCUCUGUUGUGAAAUGUGACACCCUCGCAGUCUGUGCUCCACAAGACACAACUCCACUUAACCUAUUCCAGACUGAAUCCAGAAAGUUUUCAAGUAAUUGACACUAGUUGAAGGACUAGUUAAGAGCCGAAGAUUAAACUACAUUGAAGUCUAAAUGAAGUUGUAUGUAAUAGUGUAUUGUUUUUCAAGUGUAUUGUUUUUGUACUUUCGAGAAUACUGGUGUGGCUAUAGUUUUAUUUUAAUUUAAGUUUGAUGUUAGCUAUUGCUAAGCUAAGAACACAAUAAUUAUAUGACUACUAAAUAGCACAUAGCAUAAACAAAUAUUGGGUAAAAUAGCUAAUUAUUAUAUUCUUGAAUGACAAACAUCAGUUUUUAUGUGGGUUCUUGUCAGAAGGGGAGAUUUAAUACUUUUUAACAACUUCUAACGCCAAGUAUGAGCAAUAAUAAUGCUUGCUCUCUCUCUCUCUCUCUCUCUCUCUAUCUCUCUAUACAAUAUAUAUUAUAUAUAUUAUAUAUAAAAUAUAAACCUAACUGUUGCCUUGCCAACUAUACUAAGUUAAAGGACCAAAAUUACAAAAACCUAAACUGAAAUAAAAAUAAAAUAACUCUAAAUAGAAAUAAUAAA